rnacentral:lncRNA from 1 species
GAGACACGGUCUCCCUAUGUUGCCUAGGCUAGUGUCUUAUUUCUGGGCUCAAGCGAUCCUCCCGCCUCAGCCUCCCAGAGAGUUGGUAUUAUAGGCAUGAGCCACUGUGCUGGCUUGCACCUAGAUUCUUAAAGAGAACAUUACUAGAACAUUACCGGAAGCCCCUUGUGCACUGUCCCCUGUGGGCCACUUCUCCCACCCCAUUCCUGUCUUUUAAUACUAGAGAUCAGUUGUGCUUGUUUUUGAAAUUUAUGUGAGUGGAGUAUACUAUGUAUACAGUACACAGUAAAUACUGUAUGUACCACUGCCUAUAUACAGUAUACUCCACAGUGAGUGAAACAAGCCAGACUCAGAAGCAUACAUACUGUAUGUACCACUUUGCUUAGUAGCCACAGUGUAUGCACCAUGGUACAUGCAUAUACUUCUGAAUCUGGCUUGUUUCACUCAUGGUUAGGUGUGCAGGAUUCAUCCAUGUUGUUGUGUGCAGUUCUUGCUUAUUUUACCAGUCUGUCUUAUCCUGAGAAUAUCUUUGACAUUCAACUCUGCAUGCAGACCCUUCCUUACACGUUCUAGAGAGAGGACCUGUCUUCACCCUGUGUUUAUUACCCACAUACUUGAACAGCUGUUUCCUCCAGGCAUCAUUAUGCAAAAGGAAUGAAACCCGGUGUGUGCAGCUUUUUUAGAGGACGUAAAAGGAGUCAGCUCUUGCCUCUCAUCAAUAGUAUUGUUUAUCAGUCAUUUCUCUUUUGAGGCAUUGGUUGAAUAAAUGGGAAAAUUCCUGCUUUCAAGGAACUUAGCAGACUUGUUGACAGAUAAGACCAUAAGAAGAAAGCCAGUGAAGUACCCAGUGAUGUGAACGCCAUGGUAUGAGCAAGUACAUAAUAGAGACCACAAGUGCUUUUUAGAAGUUAGAGAUAGUCAUUCUCUGGGGCUUCCUCAGGAAAAUCCUCGCUGAAUCUGGGAUCUAAACUGGGCCUUAUGAUUCUUGGAUAUAAGCUGUAUUUUCAGUUCCAUGCAAUGAGUGACACAGACUGUGCUGCCAAAAAGGAAUUCUCAGUAAGGGCAAUGCACAUAAAUUACUGUGUUACUCAGAAAUCAUGAAUAGUUGAGAUCACAAGCAUGUUAUCAGAAUCACUUGGAAGAAGACUUCUUCAACACAUUGCUGAGUCCCAUUCCCAGAGGUUCAGAAAAUUAGAUGUUGACAUUUUCAAAGUGAACUUAAGAGAAUUAAUAGAAUAGAAGACAGAAAAUUACACAAUUCUUUUAAGGAACUGCGUGCCACCAUUAAAAUCACUAGUGAAAGGCAAACUGCUUGAAGACUUACCUCUUUGCUACCGUGGAGCCACCUCCUAGAUAAUCUUCCUCUUCAGCUGGUACUGUUUUAUAAAUGAAGCCUCUGAAUUGUUCAUUAGUAUUUUCAGACCUCUUUUAUCUAAUUUAAUCCUAAUAGUUAAAUCAACUGGUGAUCCACCUGCCUCAGUCUCCCAAAGAGCUGGGAUUGCAGGCAUGAGCUACCACGCCUGGCUGUAAAUUUCAUCUAUAAGAGAGUGAUACUUGUGGUGUUCUUGUGUUUAUAUAUUUUUUCCUCUAAGAAAGUGGGCUUUUUGACUGAUGGCUUGUUCUUUAGAGUCAUAAUAUCUUUAGUGUAUAGAUAAACCAAAAUUCUUCUAUAUUUCUGUGAUGGAGGACAUAAUUUGACCUUCAGCCUUGAUAUGAAAUUUUAUGUCAGUGGAAUUAUACAAUAUGUAGUCUUUUGUUUAUGUCUGGCUUCUUUCACUUAAUAUAAUGAGUUAGGAUUUGUCUACCUUGUUUGUUGCA